ACACUAGCUGUGUGAUUUUGGAGAGGCUGCUUAACCUCUCUGUUGGUUUCCUCAUUUGUAAAAUGGAUGAUAAUAGCCCCUGCCUCAUAGAGCUAUCAGGAGGCUAUCCGGAGUCAAUACUUGUCAAGUGCUUAGACCAACACCUGGCACCUAGUGAGCGCUAUAUAUAUGUUUUAAUUAAGUUAAUGAAACACAGCAGGGGUCCUUGCAGGAGAAGGUAAAUAGGAAAGAGCCAGGGAGGCAAAGGGAAGGAGUAAGAAGAACAGGGGCUUCAUUCAAAGAAACAGGGACACACACACACACCGCCCCGUGGGGCAGGGAGAGGGGGUUCACGAUGAACCUGUGAGGCGGAAGUUCCAGCCCUGAGCCGGAGGUCACACUGUGACCCACAACCCAGGGCUCAGUGCACGCAUGGUUUCUGGUGAAACCCAGGAAGUCUCAACUGGGCAGAGGGUUUAUCUACUGAAACACCUCCAUGCGAUCUUGUGUGUGUUUUCUUCCCUUUGCACGGGGCUAAGGACGCAGGCAGGCAAGUGCCGGAGCGGGAGGUGUGUGCAGCACGCUCGAAUGUCCCUGUUUGCGUAAGGUCACUACCACUGCCAUCUGGAGGUGGAGCCUGACGGUGGCGGUAGAGCCGGCGGGAGCACUGGUGCUCUUGGUUACUGACCAAGUUUAGGACAUUUUCUCUGCCCCGUGAUUGGUGCCAAAUAAAAGUGUGCCCUCAGGAGUGCCCGUCGUGGCACAGCGGAAACGAAUCCAACUAGUAUCCAUGAGGAUGCCGGUUCAAUCCCUGGCCUCAGUCAGUGGGUCGGGCUGUGGUGUAGGUCACAGACGUGGCUUGGAUCCUGUAUGGCUGUGGUGUAGGUCACAGACGUGGCUUGGAUCCUGUAUGGCUGUGGUCACAGACGUGGCUUGGAUCCUGUAUGGCUGUGGUGUAGGUCACAGACGUGGCUUGGAUCCUGUAUGGCUGUGGUGUAGGUCACAGACGUGGCUUGGAUCCUGUAUGGCUGUGGUGUAGGUCACAGACGUGGCUUGGAUCCUGUAUGGCUGUGGUGUAGGUCACAGACGUGGCUUGGAUCCUGUAUGGCUGUGGCUGUGGCGUAGGCCAACAGCUGCAGCUCUGAUUCAACCCCUAGCCUGGGAACCUCCAUAUGCCACAGGUGCAGCCCCCCCAAAAAAAGCAAAAAAAGUGUGCCCUUGUCCCAAAUACUACAGGUUGGUUUUUGGAGAAAACCCCACCGUGGAUUCAAAUAAGAUUCUCCAUCUCUUUGUUAAAAUAAGAAAUCUAGGGAGUCCCCUGGUGGCCUUAUGGUUAAGGACCUGGCAUUGUUGUCACCGUCGUGGCGUGGGUUUGAUCCCCAGCCCAGGAACUUCCACAUGCUGUGGGUGUGGCCAAAAA
rnacentral:lncRNA from 1 species